GUAAACACGUGCAUCCUUUUAUUAUGAUGUUUUUUUUCAAGGGUCUAAGUAACCCCAUGAUUUGUGACUGCAGCUCUGCGCACAGAGGUGACAGGGAGUGCAGUGGGAAGUGUCAGCUAGUGGGAGGAAGGCUCAGAAGUUCCAUUCCUUACCCUGCAGGGCACAUCCUGUAGGAAACAGCCACUUGAAGUACACUUACUCCUUUUCCCUUGACAGGGACGAGAUGAUGAUGACGAUGCCUGGGUGUGAAGUCUGCUCCAUGGCCUUCAGUGCGAGUCCUUGGCACACCUCUGGCUUCAGGCUCGGCCUUCCCCCCAUCCUGAAAGUUUCCAAGUGCCACCAAACUGAUGGGAGAGAAACAAUUGUUGUGUUUCCCGGGCUGACACCUCCUGCUGAGCAUCCUUCCCUGCAGGAACGGCAGUCCCCUCGCGUUACUCCGGGGACACGCCGCCGCGGUGCUGAUGGGACCAGACAGGAUCCGUCACUGCGCUGAUGUGUCUCCUCCACAAAAAAUCCUAAAUGACACCAGUGGCUGAGAGACGAGGAACAAAGGGAAAACAAAUAAAAUUAUCUGCUCUGUUUGGUCCCCUCUGGUCAUCUGUCAUCCCAAUCUGGCGUGGGGACUGCGGAGGAAGGCCGGGGUUUGAGGGUUCUGCUGGGGAUAUGAGAUGGGUUUGCUUUGUUCACGUGAGACCAACAAGCCUGGCAGGCCAGAGAGCUGCUUCUGCUGGACUCUUUGGAGUCUCUGUCUCUGUUUUAGCUUGUUUCUGGUGUCCAGACUCCCCUGACUGCUGCCAUAACCAGACCCUUCCAGUGGGGCGAAGAGAGGAUGGGGCAGAGCUCGGUGUCGCUGGUGCUUCACAAGCGUCGGAAGGACCUUGCCAAGGUUGUGUGAGUCUCUCUCCCUGCCUCAAGGAGGCUGUUUGAAAGCUGCUCUCAGAUCAGUGAGGACCAAGGUGGAUGGCUGUGCUCCUCUGCAAUGCGUGUGACAGAUGUGUCACCCCUGGGCUUACUCUCUCCAAAUGGUCCAUUUCUGUCUCAAAACUCGGUGGCCAAAAGCAGAG
rnacentral:lncRNA from 1 species